GGACAUUGUGCCCAUUCAGUACCCAGCUCUUUUCUGAAUUUCCGAGAGUGAGUGUCUGAGAGUGAAAGCUCACAGCUCUAUAUAUCACUCCUCUCUCUCUCCCCUCACUGCUGCCCCUCUCCCUCCCUCUCUCUCUCUCUCUCUCUCUCUCUCUCUCUCUCUACUCAUUGUUGCCCAAUUUGGAGCUGCUGCAGCUGCUACAUUCUUCCCUUUUCAGUCUCCAAGCUGUGCAGUGUACUCCAAAAAUGGCGGCCACCACCAGCUUCCCCUACCCCUCUGCAAUUUUCCUGUCAGUUCUCAUCAUUUCAGGGUUCAUCUUUCCAGAAACGGUAAAUUCAAUGGGAAUAAACUACGGCCAAAUCGCCAACAAUUUACCGUUACCGGACGACGUCGUUCCGCUGGUGAAGUCCAUCGGCAUCUCCAAGAUCAAGCUUUACGACGCCGAUCCCAAGGUCCUCAAAGCCUUCGCCAACACCGGCGUCGAGUUCAUAGUGGGCCUCCCCAACGGCUACCUCUCCAAGGUCCAGGACCCGGCCCAGGCCCAAUCCUGGGUAAAGUCCAACGUCCAGGCCCACCUCCCCGCCACCAACAUCACAAGCAUCUUCGUCGGCAACGAGGUCCUCACCCUCAACGACACGUCGUUGAACAACAACCUCCUUCCGGCAAUGCAGAGCGUCCACACCGCCCUCGUUGGUCUAGGCCUCGACAAGCAAGUCGCCGUCACCACCGCCCACUCCCUCUCCAUUCUGGAGACCUCGUUUCCGCCCUCCGCCGGCGCUUUCCGCCGAGAUCUGACUAGCUGCAUCACUCCGAUCCUCAAUUUCCACGCCAAAACCGGAUCGCCGUUCCUGAUCAACGCCUACCCUUACUUCGCCUACAAGUCGAACCCUAAGCAGGUGCAGCUCGACUAUGUCCUCUUCCAGCCGAACUCCGGCUCCGUUGAUCCCGCCACCAAUCUCCGCUACGACAACAUGCUCUUCGCCCAGAUCGACGCCGUGUACUCCGCCCUGGGCUCCCUCGGUUUCAAGAAGCUCCCGGUCCACAUCUCCGAGACCGGGUGGCCGUCGAAGGGAGAUGAGGACGAGGCCGGAGCGACGCCGGAGAACGCGAAGAAGUACAACGGGAAUCUGAUCAAGCUCAUUUGCCAGAAGAAGGGAACUCCGCUCAGGCCCGGGUCGGAUCUCAACAUCUACGUCUUCGCUCUAUUCAACGAGAACAUGAAACCCGGCCCGAGUUCAGAGAGGAACUUCGGGCUUUUUAAACCUGACGGGUCGCCCGCGUACCCAAUCGAGCUCGCGGCGGGCAACAUAUCCCUUGGUAACUCCAGUUCCAGUUCCAGUUCGGGUUCGGGUUCGAGUUCGGGCCAGGGACAGGUGAAUCCGAUUAGUAACGGUGGGUCACCGUCAGAUUCUUCCGGCACGCCAUACUUGUCCAUUUCCUCCGCCCCGGCCAUGAAGAGAUGGGAUGUAAUUGGUGGGAUUCCGAUGACGUGGCUAGUGGUCUCGUUGGUGAUGAAACACGUCCUUUGAGGUUGGACAAAAGCUGAGAGCAAAAUAUCUAAAGUUGCUCAAAUGGACGGUGGAAAAGAGAAAAAAGAAAAGAAAAUAGAAGAGGUUACUUGGGAAUUAGGAAAAAGGGUCUUUUUACUUGGACUAACGGCCACAAGGACGGUACUAUAAUGGUGGCUGAAGUGCUUUUAGAUGCUCUUAAGCUUGCAAAGUAGAGGAGUUUUUCCAAAAUUUCAGUGGAGGGAGACUCUAAGCUAGUUACAGAUAAUGUGGAAGGAAGGUGUGGUGUCCUUUGGACCUUUGGAGAAUUCGAGACACGAUUGCGGACAUUCAUUAGUUGGCAUCCUUCUUUUAUUGCGUGACUUGAAAGCAUAUUUAUCGAUAAGUAAAUUUUGUGAUUGAUGUUGUGACUAAUGUAGGUUGAUCCCUUUCUAAUAUGCAUAUUUAGAAUUGUACCCUUCCUUCGAGGGCUA